rnacentral:misc_RNA from 1 species
GCCAAGACCCUGAUUGGUUACGUCCCUCCUUUCUCUGUAGAGGGCGCCAGAGAGAGAUCCUUGCCUUAUUAUAACAACGUGAAGUUGAGGAAGAAUUGAAUGGUAAACCUAUAACAUUAAGAUUUCGGAGUAGUCAUUUUUGAUUAGGAAAAUUUUAUUGAGGGUUGAGAUUUAGUUGUUAUUUGAUUCAUAUUGUUAUAAUUUGAUUGAUAUUGAUAUUUGAAUACUCUUUUGAAUGGUUAUCAGACAUAAUAUUAGGGGAAAAAAAGAAUUAUGUUAAUGCUCCUUAACUCAUUUUUUAUAUUUCUUUAUCAAGCCCACAUUAUAUGAACAAGUGAAUUAUUUUAGUUUAGGUAAAAGGUUAUUUUGAUUGAAAUUUCUGAGAUUUUUUCUUUUUUUUUCAUAAAAAAUACUCAAAGUACUCUCUACAUGUCAGUUUUGUAGUCCCUAAACUAUUCAAGGUCUUAAAAAAAUUUUUGUCUGAAAUUAUUAAGAACUUUUGUAUUAAUGUGUUUUAUUGUAUUGAUUUAGUUUUAUUUAAAACUAUGAAGUAAUGAUCUGUUAUUUGUUUUACAUAUAGUAUCAGCUGAGGCGUGUUCAGCAGAGUGGGUGCCUGUGAGCGCUCGCAAAAGUUCCCUAUACCUAUAAUACAAAUUUUGGCGAGCACUCGCGAACACCUGCUGAACCCGCCUUUGGAACCAUCGCUAACAAUCUGUGCACUAUACAGUAUGUGAUGGCAAGUGCUGAAAAUAAUGAAAUGUUUGCAAUUUUAUAUGUUUACAAAGACUUCGUGAUUUGCAAUAUAACCAAGAAAUUAUAGAUCAUCUGUUAUCUUAAUAUUAACUUUUAUUUGUAUCAUGUUUAAUGAUUCCUUUUAACAAAUUUGUGUUGGUUUUAUACAUAAUUAUGGCAAUAAUCUUAGUGGAGAUGUAUUAUUUUUCCUCUCAUGUAUCAUGUAUUUUCAAUAUUUUUAUUCACUCCUUUCUAAAUACUCAAACUCUCAUGCAAUUUUCUGUAUGAACAGGGAAAUACUUACAAGAUAUCAAGUUUGAAAUUGAUAAGGUGUUAAUCAAAAAUUCAAAAUGUUGCAAAAACCCAGGUGCUGCUUUAUUUUAACAGUGCAGGUUUAUAAAGUGUAUAAAGAACAAAUCUGUGACAGAUUCCUUAUACAUGUAUAGUUCUGCAGUGUGACUCAGGAUACUUGCUACUUCAGGAUACCUAUAGAUAUCUGUGGUUUUAUUUUUAUAGUGAAAAUUAUACAUAUGAUUCUGUCCGAGACCUUUUAAUACACAUAUGUAUGCCAUAGAGACAGAAGUUUUCAUAGGUGAUGAGUGAUCUUUAUAAAAAUAAAAGAGCAUUUUGUUGAUAACUGUAGUAAACAUUUAACCUCAACGAAUAUAUCUUUUAUUUUAGUAAUUUGUUAUUCAUGUACCUGCAUGUACAUAUUUUAUCCAAGACUGCAUCUAUAGAAAUGCCUUUGUUGUUGUUUUAUUAUAAAUAUUUUUGUAUUCACUGUAUAUACUGUAUCAUAAUAUACUCAAUACUCAUAAUAAAAUUCUCAAACAUUG